rnacentral:rRNA from 1 species
AACACAUGCAAGUCGAACGGUAACAUUUCUAGCUUGCUAGAAGAUGACGAGUGGCGGACGGGUGAGUAAUGCUUGGGAACUUGCCUUUGCGAGGGGGAUAACAGUUGGAAACGACUGCUAAUACCGCAUAAUGUCUUCGGACCAAACGGGGCUUAGGCUCCGGCGCAAAGAGAGGCCCAAGUGAGAUUAGCUAGUUGGUAAGGUAACGGCUUACCAAGGCGACGAUCUCUAGCUGUUCUGAGAGGAAGAUCAGCCACACUGGGACUGAGACACGGCCCAGACUCCUACGGGAGGCAGCAGUGGGGAAUAUUGCACAAUGGGGGAAACCCUGAUGCAGCCAUGCCGCGUGUGUGAAGAAGGCCUUCGGGUUGUAAAGCACUUUCAGUUGUGAGGAAAAGUUAGUAGUUAAUACCUGCUAGCCGUGACGUUAACAACAGAAGAAGCACCGGCUAACUCCGUGCCAGCAGCCGCGGUAAUACGGAGGGUGCGAGCGUUAAUCGGAAUUACUGGGCGUAAAGCGCACGCAGGCGGUUUGUUAAGCUAGAUGUGAAAGCCCCGGGCUCAACCUGGGAUGGUCAUUUAGAACUGGCAGACUAGAGUCUUGGAGAGGGGAGUGGAAUUCCAGGUGUAGCGGUGAAAUGCGUAGAUAUCUGGAGGAACAUCAGUGGCGAAGGCGAC